rnacentral:rRNA from 1 species
AAACUAACAAGGAUUCCCCUAGUAACGGCGAGUGAACCGGGAAGAGCUCAAAUUUGAAAUCUGGCGUCCUCAGGGCGUCCGAGUUGUAAUCUAUAGAGGCGUUUUCCGUGCCGGACCGUGUCCAAGUUCCUUGGAACAGGAUAUCAAAGAGGGUGACAAUCCCGUACUUGACACGACGACCGGUGCUCUGUGAUACGUCUUCUACGAGUCGAGUUGUUUGGGAAUGCAGCUCAAAAUGGGUGGUGAGUUCCAUCUAAAGCUAAAUAUUGGCGAGAGACCGAUAGCGAACAAGUACCGUGAGGGAAAGAUGAAAAGCACUUUGGAAAGAGAGUUAAACAGUACGUGAAAUUGUUGAAAGGGAAACGAUUGAAGUCAGUCGUGACCGAGAGGCUCAGCCGGUUCUGCCGGUGUAUUCCCCUCGGUCGGGUCAACAUCAGUUUUGUCCGGUGGAUAAGGGCGGUAGGAAGGUGGCACCCUCGGGUGUGUUAUAGCCUGCCGUAGCAUACAUCGGGUGAGACUGAGGAACGCAGCUCGCCUUUAUGGCCGGGGUUCGCCCACGUCCGAGCUUAGGAUGUUGACAUAAUGGCUUUAAACGACC